CACGUAGUUAGCCGUGGCUUAUUCGACAGGUACCGUCUUCUGCUCUUCCCUGUCAAAAGAAGUUUACAACCCGAAAGCCUUCUUCCUUCACGCGGCGUUGCUGGGUCAGGCUUUCGCCCAUUGUCCAAUAUUCCCCACUGCUGCCUCCCGUAGGAGUCUGGGCCGUAUCUCAGUCCCAAUGUGGCCGGCCAACCUCUCAGUCCGGCUACUGAUCGUCGCCUUGGUAGGCCGUUACCCUACCAACUAGCUAAUCAGACGCGAGGCCAUCUCUCAGCGAUAAAUCUUUGGUACAGAUACCAUGCGAUACCCGUACGUUAUGCGGUAUUAGCAGUCGUUUCCAACUGUUGUCCCCCAUGAAAGGCAGGUUCCUCACGCGUUACUCACCCGUCCGCCACUAAGCAUUCUUUUCCAUUGACCGAAGUCUCUUUCGAAGGUGCUCCGUUCGACUUGCAUGUGUUAAGCACGCCGCCAGCGUUCGUCCUGAGCCAGGAUCAAACUACU
rnacentral:rRNA from 1 species